UAGACACAUCUCUAUAUUUAUAUAUUAGACGGGUCAGGGAGGUGGCAGGGGCGCCGGGCUCUCCACGCCCCCCAGCUCCACUUCUGCUCACCACACACAGAAGCAGCGAGGGCACGCGAAGUGACAGCUUUGACAGGGAGGGGAUUCGGCCCGGCCUGGCUCCUCAGGGAUGCUAGCCCUUGAGACUAAGGAAUGUUCCUUCAGGGAAACUAGGGUGGGGUUUGAAUGAGAUGAGGGGGGCAGGCAUGGCCCUGAGUCCCUACUCAGCGCCCCCCACCCUCCACCUCUGCCCUUCAGCAGGUUGGGGCAGCCAGAACCCUUCCAUUCCAGAACUGCCAGAGACUGGGACGCUGGGGAAGGUAAGGGCGCAGCAGCAGCAGCGGGAGAUUGAACU
rnacentral:lncRNA from 1 species